GGGCCCGCACAAGCGGAGGAACAUGUGGUUUAAUUCGAUGAUACGCGAGGAACCUUACCUGGGCUUAAAUGUAGAGUGCAUUUUCUAGAGAUAGAAAUUCCCUUCGGGGCUUUCUGCAAGGUGCUGCAUGGUUGUCGUCAGCUCGUGCCGUGAGGUGUCGGGUUAAGUCCCAUAACGAGCGCAACCCUUAUCGUUAGUUGCCAGCUGGUAAAGCAGGGGACUCUAGCGAAACUGCCACCGUAAGGUGAGAGGAAGGUGGGGAUGACGUCAAAUCAGCACGGCCCUUAUGUCCAGGGCUACACACGUGUUACAAUGGCCGGUACAGAGGGCUGCUACCUGGUGACAGGAUGCUAAUCUCGAAAACCGGUCUCAGUUCGGAUCGAAGUCUGCAACUCGACUUCGUGAAGCCGGAUUCGCUAGUAAUCGCGCAUCAGCAACGGCGCGGUGAAUACGUUCCCGGGCCUU
rnacentral:rRNA from 1 species